UCCCUGGUGGCUCAGAUGGUAAAGCAUCUGCCUGCAAUGCAGGAGACCUGGGUUCGAUCCCCCAGUCGGGAA
rfam:TPA: Bos taurus chromosome 12, whole genome shotgun sequence.